UUGUGCUUCAUGGUGGAAAUCCCGAAGUGAAGCUUAUGUUGUUGUUUCAACAAAGGGAGAUGUAUCGUAUGGACAUGGUGCAAUGAGUAAACCCAAGGGCUUAUGUACUUUGAAGCCCAACACGUUAUGGCUAAAGAGAGAGUAGGGAGUAUCAAAUCUCCUUCCUGUUUCACUCUAACCCACUCGAGCCCAACUCUCUCGUUCUCUCAACACAAACGCCUCAAAACCCUAGGCCUCUCACCUGGAAGGAUGAAACUUCCAUAUUUUUGAUGAACAUACCAAGAACUAACAAUAACCUCUCCCUUGUAUUUCCAGAUUAUCCCUAAACUCACCAAAGCAAGAAGUAAAUAACGUAAUCCUUCACUAAUUCCCCCUAAAUACGAAUCUAUCAACUAUUCUCACAAACCAUUAAUUGUGGAUACGAAUUGAAGACUUGGAAAACCGAAUCCCGAAGUUCUAAGUUAGCCAAAAUGCACAUGUUAAGCACAAAAUUGGGACGGGGAAUCAUACAAAGCGUCUUCAGAAGCAAAAUAUUCCACCAAUUAAGCACGAAAUCGCAAAAAAAAAAAAGUACCAAAUCGGAGUAAGGAGGAGCUCUGGCACGGCGGUUCUUCUGCUCAGGCGACAAUGGUGGAUUCACAUAGUGGAGAUGUGGAACUGAGGUAGCUAGAAGGUGACACAUGGCAAGGCUUUGUUUAGUACAGCUGAAGCUUAGAGGUGAAACUUCAAUGGUGGUGUUAGUGCUCUAGGUGAAGGUAGCUAAUUUAGGGAGUGAAGAACUUUGAAGAAUCCAACUCUGAAGUUUUAUGGUGAAAAAAUGAAUCCCCCUGAGAAUGAACUAGGCUGUUAUUUAUGUGAGUCUUGAAGCAUCAUUCAUGAAGUUCCUCUCUUGCCAUUUCAUCGCUCUAGGAAGUGGACUACCGAUACCAGCAAUCUGAGACAAUCCUCUCUUGCCAACUGUUGGAAAAUACUCAUGAACCCAACAUUGUUGCACAACAUGAAUAUUAUCAAUUAAAAUUAUUAUAAAUAAGUUAAUAUAAGUCAAAAUAAAAUUAAAAUUAAA